rnacentral:rRNA from 1 species
AUCUGAGGAUGAAAGCGGGGGACCUUCGGGCCUCGCGCUAUAGGGUUGGCCGAUGGCUGAUUAGCUAGUUGGUGGGGUAAAGGCCUACCAAGGCGACGAUCAGUAGCUGGUCUGAGAGGACGACCAGCCACACUGGGACUGAGACACGGCCCAGACUCCUACGGGAGGCAGCAGUGGGGAAUUUUGGACAAUGGGCGAAAGCCUGAUCCAGCAAUGCCGCGUGUGUGAAGAAGGCCUUCGGGUUGUAAAGCACUUUUGUCCGGAAAGAAAUCCUUGGUUCUAAUAUAGCCGGGGGAUGACGGUACCGGAAGAAUAAGCACCGGCUAACUACGUGCCAGCAGCCGCGGUAAUACGUAGGGUGCAAGCGUUAAUCGGAAUUACUGGGCGUAAAGCGUGCGCAGGCGGUUUGCUAAGACCGAUGUGAAAUCCCCGGGCUCAACCUGGGAACUGCAUUGGUGACUGGCAGGCUGGAGUAUGGCAGAGGGGGGGUAGAAUUCCACGUGUAGCAGUGAAAUGCGUAGAGAUGUGGAGGAAUACCGAUGGCGAAGGCAGCCCCCUGGGCCAAUACUGACGCUCAUGCACGAAAGCGUGGGGAGCAAACAGGAUUAGAUACCCUGGUAGUCCACGCCCUAAACGAUGUCAACUAGUUGUUGGGGAUUCAUUUCCUUAGUAACGUAGCUAACGCGUGAAGUUGACCGCCUGGGGAGUACGGUCGCAAGAUUAAAACUCAAAGGAAUUGACGGGGACCCGCACAAGCGGUGGAUGAUGUGGAUUAAUUCGAUGCAACGCGAAAAACCUUACCUACCCUUGACAUGGUCGGAAUCCUGCUGAGAGGCGGGAGUGCUCGAAAGAGAACCGGCGCACAGGUGCUGCAUGGCUGUCGUCAGCUCGUAUCGUGAGAUGUUGGGUUAAGUCCCGCAACGAGCGCAACCCUUGUCCUUAGUUGCUACGCAAGAGCACUCUAAGGAGACUGCCGGUGACAAACCGGAGGAAGGUGGGGAUGACGUCAAGUCCUCAUGGCCCUUAUGGGUAGGGCUUCACACGUCAUACAAUGGUCGGAACAGAGGGUUGCCAACCCGCGAGGGGGAGCUAAUCCCAGAAAACCGAUCGUAGUCCGGAUUGCACUCUGCAACUCGAGUGCAUGAAGCUGGAAUCGCUAGUAAUCGCGGAUCAGCAUGCCGCGGUGAAUACGUCCCCGGGUCUUGUACACACCGCCCGUCACACCAUGGGAGUGGGUUUUAUCAGAAGUGGCUAGACUAACCGCAAGGAGGACGGUCACCACGGUAGGAUUCAUGACUGGGGNGAAGUCGUAACAAGGUAACCGUA